CGGUGUUACGUGGAGAGAUUCACGGUCCACUUCGGUGGCGCGCACACAGGUGCUGCAUGGCUGUCGUCAGCUCGUGUCGUGAGAUGUUGGGUUAAGUCCCGCAACGAGCGCAACCCACGUCCUUAGUUGCCAUCAUUCAGUUGGGCACUCUAGGGAGACUGCCGGUGAUAAGCCGCGAGGAAGGUGUGGAUGACGUCAAGUCCUCAUGGCCCUUACGGGAUGGGCUACACACGUGCUACAAUGGCGGUGACAGUGGGACGCGAAACCGCGAGGUUGAGCAAAUCCCCAAAAGCCGUCUCAGUUCGGAUUGCACUCUGCAACUCGGGUGCAUGAAGGCGGAAUCGCUAGUAAUCGUGGAUCAGCAUGCCACGGUGAAUACGUUCCCGGGCCUUGUACACACCGCCCGUCACACCAUGGGAGUUGGUCUUACCCGACGGCGCUGCGCCAACCGCAAGGAGGCAGGCGACCACGGUAGGGUCAGCGACUGGGGUGAAGUCGUAACAAGGUAAGCGUAGUGCU
rnacentral:rRNA from 1 species